rnacentral:rRNA from 1 species
AGAGUUUGAUCAUGGCUCAGGACGAACGCUGGCGGUGCGCCUUAUGCAUGCAAGUCGAGCGAAGCUUUUCAGUAGUUUACUACAGAAAAUGACUGAGCGGCGAACGGGUGAGUAACGCGUGAGCAAUCUACCUUAGUUACAGGGAUAGCCCGAGGAAACUCGGAUUAAUACCUGAUAUUCUUUACAUUUCGCAUGAAAUCAAAAGGAAAGGUCAGCCGAACUAAGAUGAGCUCGCGUUCUAUCAGCUAGUUGGUGAGGUAAAAGCUCACCAAGGCAACGACGGAUAGCUGGUCUGAGAGGACGAUCAGCCACACUGGGACUGAGACACGGCCCAGACUCCUACGGGAGGCUGCAGCAGGGGAAUAUUGCGCAAUGAGCGAAAGCUUGACGCAGCGACACCGCGUGUGGGAUGACGGAUCUAGGUUUGUAAACCACUUUCAGGAGGGAAGAAAAUGACGGUACCUCCACAAGAAGCCCCGGNCAACUACGUGCCAGCAGCCGCGGUAAUACGUAGGGGGCGAGCGUUGUCCGGAUUUAUUGGGCGUAAAAGCUCGUAGGCGGUUCAACAAGUCGGUCGUAAAAUUCAGGGCUCNACCCUGAAAUGGCGAUCGAUACUG